rnacentral:rRNA from 1 species
CUACGUGCCAGCAGCCGCGGUAAUACGUAGGUGGCAAGCGUUGUCCGGAAUUAUUGGGUGUAAAGCGCGCGCAGGCGGAUUGGUCAGUCUGUCUUAAAAGUUCGGGGCUUAACCCCGUGAUGGGAUGGAAACUGCCAAUCUAGAGUAUCGGAGAGGAAAGUGGAAUUCCUAGUGUAGCGGUGAAAUGCGUAGAUAUUAGGAAGAACACCAGUGGCGAAGGCGACUUUCUGGACGAAAACUGACGCUGAGGCGCGAAAGCCAGGGGAGCGAACGGGAUUAGAUACCCCGGUAGUCCUGGCCGUAAACGAUGGGUACUAGGUGUAGGAGGUAUCGACCCCUUCUGUGCCGGAGUUAACGCAAUAAGUACCCCGCCUGGGGAGUACGACCGCAAGGUUGAAACUCAAAGGAAUUGACGGGGGCCCGCACAAGCGGUGGAGUAUGUGGUUUAAUUCGACGCAACGCGAAGAACCUUACCAGGUCUUGACAU